UAGGGAAUCUUCCGCAAUGGGCGAAAGCCUGACGGAGCAACGCCGCGUGAGUGAUGAAGGUCUUCGGAUCGUAAAACUCUGUUAUUAGGGAAGAACAAAUGUGUAAGUAACUAUGCACGUCUUGACGGUACCUAAUCAGAAAGCCACGGCUAACUACGUGCCAGCAGCCGCGGUAAUACGUAGGUGGCAAGCGUUAUCCGGAAUUAUUGGGCGUAAAGCGCGCGUAGGCGGUUUUUUAAGUCUGAUGUGAAAGCCCACGGCUCAACCGUGGAGGGUCAUUGGAAACUGGAAAACUUGAGUGCAGAAGAGGAAAGUGGAAUUCCAUGUGUAGCGGUGAAAUGCGCAGAGAUAUGGAGGAACACCAGUGGCGAAGGCGACUUUCUGGUCUGUAACUGACGCUGAUGUGCGAAAGCGUGGGGAUCAAACAGGAUUAGAUACCCUGGUAGUCCACGCCGUACGAUGAGUGCUAAGUGUUAGGGGGUUUCCGCCCCUUAGUGCUGCAGCUAACGCAUUAAGCACUCCGCCUGGGGAGUACGACCGCAAGGUU
rnacentral:rRNA from 1 species